rnacentral:rRNA from 1 species
GAUGAACGCUAGCGGGAGGCUUAACACAUGCAAGUCGAGGGGCAUCACGAGGUAGCAAUACUUUGGUGGCGACCGGCGCACGGGUGAGUAACGCGUAUGCAACCUACCCUGUACAGUAGGAUAACCCGGAGAAAUUCGGACUAAUACCGCAUAAAGAUAUUUUGAGGCAUCUUAAGAUAUUUAAAGCUUAGGUGGUACGGGAUGGGCAUGCGUAACAUUAGCUGGUUGGUAGGGUAACGGCCUACCAAGGCGAUGAUGUUUAGGGGACCUGAGAGGGUGAUCCCCCACACUGGUACUGAGACACGGACCAGACUCCUACGGGAGGCAGCAGUGAGGAAUAUUGGUCAAUGGGCGGAAGCUUGAACCAGCCAUCCCGCGUGCAGGAAGACAGCCCUAUGGGUUGUAAACUGCUUUUCCAGUGGGCGAAACACCCGUACGUGUACGAGAUUGACGGUACACUGGGAAUAAGCAUCGGCUAACUCCGUGCCAGCCGCCGCCGUAA